rnacentral:piRNA from 1 species
UGCUGAGCAGAAAUUCUGGAGUUUGG